rnacentral:tRNA from 1 species
CAAAAAAUAGUUUAAGUUAAAAUGCUAGUUUUGGGGGCUAGUGUUGAGGGUUGCUCCUCUUUUUUGA